rnacentral:ncRNA from 3 species
UACCGAGCGUCGAGAGGCGACGGGAUGAGCGUGCAGAAGUCAGCUGAAGCCGUAGUAAUCACCGAAACCGGGUCGAUGAAGGGU